GGGGGUCCAUGAUGAUCUUCUAGAUGGUAGCGGGUUGAACAGGCCGCGGCUCUGGGGGGUCCUUGAUGAUCUUCUAGAUGGUAGCGGGUUGAACAGGCCAUGGCUCGGGGGUCCUUGAUGAUCUUCUAGAUGGUAGCGGGUUGAACAGGCCGUGGCUCGGGGGGUCCUUGAUGAUCUUCUGGAUGGUAGCGGGUUGAACAGGCCAUGGCUCGGGGGGUCCUUGAUGAUCUUCUAGAUGGUAGCGGGUUGAACAGGCCGUGGCUCGGGGGGUCCUUGAUGAUCUUCUAGAUGGUAGCGGGUUGAACAGGCCACGGCUCGGGGGGUCCUUGAUGAUUUUCUUGGCCUCCUUGUGACACCGGGUACUGUAGAUGUUCUGGAGGGCAGGCAGUGUGCCCCCGAUGGGCAGGGUACUGUGUAGUGAGGCGUUGGGCUGACCGUACCACCCUCUGGAGAGCCCUGUGGUUGCGGGCGGCGCAGUUGCCGUACCUGGCGGUGAUACAGACCAACAGGAUGCUCUUCAUGGUGCGUCUGUAGAAUUUUGUGAGGGUCUUAG
ensembl:lncRNA